rnacentral:lncRNA from 1 species
CUUUGCUAGAGAAUUGUGGAGAGCUCCUCACAGAGGCUUUGCUUCUCUCUCCCCUCUUUCCCCUGAUCUUUCUCAGCUGUGUGGCCCAGGCUGGGAGCUGGACCAGAUUCCACAACCUUCUUGCAGUGGUCUUUCCUGCUAUUCUCUCCUGUCCUCAUCUGCAGCCUGUCAGAGUGGGCUCCUGUGCUGUCCAUCUCUUCCUGUCUCAUGCAACAAAGUGAUUGGACAAAGACUUGGAAGAGCCUGCCACAUGUGCAAGGAGAGGCAUGGAGGCUGGGGCAGGCAGAGGGCAGUGGACCAAGGAGAAAGAUGACUGGAAGAGCUGUGUCUUCCAGGCCACUACAGUAGUGUCAUGGUUAGUGUUAAUUUUUUUUUGUCUGUACAGUGUUCUGCCUGCACACCAGAAG